UACGUAGGGUGCAAGCGUUGUCCGGAAUUAUUUGGGGCGUAAAGAGCUCGUAGGCGGUGUGUCGCGUCGGCCGUGAAAACCUGCAGCUUAACUGUGGGCGUGCGGUCGAUACGGGCAUCACUGGAGUUCGGGCAGGGGAGACUGGGAAUUCCUGGUGUAGCGGUGAAAUGCGCAGAUAUCAGGAGGAACACCGGUGGCCGAAGGCGGGUCUCUGGGCCGAUA
rnacentral:rRNA from 1 species